GACGAACGCUGGCGGCGUGCUUAACACAUGCAAGUCGAGCGGAAAGGCCCUUUCGGGGGUACUCGAGCGGCGAACGGGUGAGUAACACGUGAGUAAUCUGCCCUUGGCUUUGGGAUAACUACCGGAAACGGUGGCUAAUACCGGAUACGACGCACUCAGGCAUCUGAUGUGUGUGGAAAGUUUUUUCGGCCAGGGAUGUGCUCGCGGCCUAUCAGCUUGUUGGUGGGGUAAUGGCCUACCAAGGCUUCGACGGGUAGCCGGCCUGAGAGGGUGACCGGCCACACUGGGACUGAGACACGGCCCAGACUCCUACGGGAGGCAGCAGUGGGGAAUAUUGGACAAUGGGCGGAAGCCUGAUCCAGCAACGCCGCGCGAGGGAUGACGGCCUCGG
rnacentral:rRNA from 1 species